rnacentral:rRNA from 1 species
AAUUUUGUACAAUGGGGGCAUCCCUCAUCCAUCCAUCCCGCGUGUGCGAUGAAGGCCUUCGGGUUGUAAAGCACUUCUGGCAAGGAAGAAAAGGCUCUGGUUAAUACCUGGAGCCGCUGCCGGUACCUUCAGAAUACGCACCGUCUAACUACGUUCAAGUAGCCGCGGUAAUACGUAGGGUGCAAGCGUUAAUCGGAAUUACUGGGUGUAAAGGGUGCGCAGGCGGUUUGGCAAGAAGGAUGUGAAAUCCCGGGGCUUAACCUCGGAACUGAAUUCUUAACUGGCAGGCUAGAGUAUGUCAGAGGGGGGUUGAAUUCCGCGUGUAGCAGUGAAAUGCGUAGAGAUGCGGAGGAAUACCGAUGGCGAAGGCAGCCCCCUGGGAUAAUACUGACGCUCAGGCACGAAAGCGUGGGGAGCAAACA